rnacentral:rRNA from 1 species
CCUACGGGAGACAGCAGUGAGGAAUAUUGGUCAAUGGGCGAGAGCCUGAACCAGCAAAGUAGCGUGAAGGAUGACUGCCCUACGGGUUGUAAACUUCUUUUAUAAAGGAAUAAAGUGAGGCACGUGUGCCUUUUUGUAUGUACUUUAUGAAUAAGGAUCGGCUAACUCCGUGCCAGCAGCCGCGGUAAUACGGAGGAUCCGAGCGUUAUCCGGAUUUAUUGGGUUUAAAGGGAGCGUAGAUGGGUUGUUAAGUCAGUUGUGAAAGUUUGCGGCUCAACCGUAAAAUUGCAAGUGAUACUGGCAGUCUUGAGUACAGUUGAGGUAAGCGGAAUUCGUGGUGUAGCGGUGAAAUGCGUAGAUAUCACGAAGAACUCCGAUUGCGAAGGCAGCUUACUAAACUGCCACUGACAUUGAUGCUCGAAAGUGUGGGGAGCAAACAGGAUUAGAUACCCUGGUAGUC